GCCUGGGAGUCAGGUAGCAGGGCCUUUGGGAUCCAGUCGCUCAUUGACUGUGAGCUCAGGCAAGCUCGUACACUCCAGAGGCUCCUCUGCUUCCGUGUUUCACGAGAAUGCAGUGUUACAGGAUCCUAAAUGCAGUUGUGAGGAUUAAAUGUGAAAGUGCUCAUGGCAUACAGAAUGCUGAACCCAGGCCUGGCGCAGAAGGGUCAGCCAUUUCUAAUGGGAUACAGGCACACAUGCAUGGGCAAGGAGCCCACUCUGCACCUCUCCAAGACAAAGGCAAUCCGUCUGAAGGAUAUCUUGAAUGUGAAUGAUUCUCUGCUUUAUCAACCUUGAGUCUGCACAUAAGUCACAGCCCUCUUCUUUCGUCGGCAAUUCCAGCAAAAUUCCAUGUCUGUGAUUGUUUUCAUUGCCACCCAGUUUAUGGGACACAUGUAUUCCUUUCCCACUUUAAAGGUUUCUGCAGUCGCAGUCACGUUCACUGCAAGCGCGGGGGAUGAUCUUCCCAUUUAAAACAUUGGCCAAUCAACCGCAUCAUUUCAUUUUGAAUCGCAACUCCUGUGUUGUGUAAUUACUUGUGAAGGUUGAGAAAUGGGCCUCUCCAGGAAGAUCCUUUCUUUACUAGACCAGCAAGAAUGAGCCUGUCUAAGUGAACCUACUCUAGCCCCUUAGAGGGCCUUCUGCCUUCAACUUCCAAAGCCUCCAUGACUGAGCUUGU
ensembl:lncRNA LOC120093103 uncharacterized LOC120093103